AUUGAACGCUGGCGGCAUGCCUUACACACGCAAGUCGAACGGCAGCACGGGAGCAAUCCUGGUGGCGAGUGGCGAACGGGUGAGUAAUAAAUCGGAACGUGCCCAGUCGUGGGGGAUAACGCAGCGAAAGCUGUGCUAAUACCGCAUACGAUCUAUGGAUGAAAGCGGGGGAUCGCAAGACCUCGCGCGAUUGGAGCGGCCGAUAUCAGAUUAGCUAGUUGGUGAGGUAAAGGCUCACCAAGGCGACGCUCUGUAGCUGGUCUGAGAGGACGACCAGCCACACUGGAACUGAGACGCGGUCCAGACUCCGACGGGAGGCAGCAGUGGGGAAUUUUGGACAAUGGGCGAAAGCCUGAUCCAGCAAUGCCGCGUGCAGGAUGAAGGCCUUCGGGUUGUAAACUGCUUUUGUACGGAACGAAACGGUGAGCUCUAAUACAGUUUGCUAAUGACGGUACCGUAAGAAUAAGCACCGGCUAACUACGUGCCAGCCGCCGCGGUAA
rnacentral:rRNA from 1 species